rnacentral:misc_RNA from 1 species
UCUCCGUUGGUGAACCAGCGGAGGGAUCAUUAUCGAGUUUAUAACUCCCAAACCCUAUGUGAACUUACCACUUGUUGCUUCGGCGCGCGCUUCGGUGCCGCCGAGGACACUUAAACUCUUUGUUUUUAUAAGCAUUUCUGAGUGGCCGAAAGGCAAAAUACAAAUGAAUCAAAACUUUCAACAACGGAUCUCUCGGUUCUG